rnacentral:rRNA from 1 species
UACGGAGGGUGCAAGCGUUAAUCGGAAUUACUGGGCGUAAAGGGUUCGUAGGUGGCCACUUAAGUCAGACGUGAAAUCCCUCAGCUUAACUGGGGAACUGCGUCUGAUACUGAGUGGCUUGAGUGCAGGAGAGGGAUGCGGAAUUCCAGGUGUAGCGGUGAAAUGCGUAGAUAUCUGGAGGAACACCGGUGGCGAAGGCGGCAUCCUGGACUGUAACUGACACUGAGGAACGAAAGCCAGGGGAGCAAACGGG